ACUUGAGUUAUUGGCAUUUGGCCAUAUCUUUUUUUAAAGUGGAUACUACCUCAUUCUUGUAGUUCUUUGGCCUGGAUAUUUGAGUAGAGCCUGCAAGCACUAUCCUGCCUUGGAAGAAUCCAGAUUUAUACUCUCUUGGAGCCAGAGAGAAAGGAGCAGAAUGGAAAAAGGUGACUGAUCAGCGUGACCCCUCCCCCACCACAGCUGUCCCACAUGGUGACCCAGAUGAGACGACUGGGCAACAGAGAGGUUAA
rnacentral:lncRNA from 1 species